GCGAGUGUGGCGGAAUUGGCAGACGCGCGGGACUUAGGAUCCCGUGCCCGAAAGGGCGUGUGGGUUCAACUCCCACCACUCGCA
rfam:Sulfurihydrogenibium sp. YO3AOP1, complete genome.